GUAGCAAUAUAAUGCCCGAGGGCCGCAGGCCCCGAGGGCAUUAUGUCAUCCAGUGCAGUAUAUGGCAUGUUGCACGAGGGCGCCUGCAAUAACUAACUUGUUGCCCAAUGACGUUAAACUCGUCUGACUGGUCAUAUAAAUCGUAAUAAAAGACUUGUGUGUUUUGAAGGAAUUUAGUGUAUUCAUUAGUUUUGCUGAAUUCCAUAGUAAAUUUUUUAGGUUUUCUUCCCACUAGUAUAGUUGUAAAAGUAGUAGCCUAUAAAAGGGACCAACUGAGUAUUACGUGGGAUGGUGGGGCAUAAGUCCCAAAUGGAUAUCUCUUAAAGAAAUCUACUGCAUUUACACACAGCGCAAGUGCAUAUAAUCCAGUGCAUUAUGCCAUAUAAUGCAGUGCAAUAUAUGGUAGCCAUGGCAGUGAUGCAACAUGCCAUAUACUCAGCACUGGAUUGCUUUGAUCUGCCCACUCACUGGGCAACAAACAUAAAUAGCUGAAGACUUAGUAUAGAUAAUUAUAGACUUCAAAAGAACUACAAUGUCUAGCUAGUUCAGAACCCACAAAGGAUGCGGUAACAGGUUAUGAAGCACUGCAGUCUGCAGCCACAACAUGCGACACUCAUAACAAUUUAAAAUGAGUAUAAUUAUGGUUUACGCAUGCAGUGGAAAGUCUCAUUCCAAUUCCCAAGUCAAUCUGAUGAAUAUCAACCAGAAAAGGUUUUGAUUCCAACUCCCACAAGGAAAAUUGAGUAUAUAAAAUGAGCAAUUUGACUGACAAAUCACAGCAAUCAAGACUCCAUGCAACAUCAAGUAAGAAGACUAACCAUUUGCAUCUCUUCUAUGCAUCAAGUUAAGACAUAAUAUAUAUAUAUAUAUACCCUGGAACCAAAUCGAACACUUCAUAAUCAUGACAUUGAAGAUUGUGCUUGUCGUACUUGUGGCUUGCUUUGCGGCAGUCAAUUGUCAAGAUUGCUUCACUGAUGGACUGACUGAAUUAGCUCUGGACCUAUGCCACAGACACUUCAUUCAGUCCACUACUCCUCUAGGAUAUUGCGAACUGCCAUCACAGUGGUGCCUCAUCAAUCUUUCAUACCUUUACAACAAAUGUGAUUUACCAAACCCUGUACUGGGUUGCUUUAUUGUAAUUGGUCCUACCACUGGCACUACCAGUGGCACUACCAUUGAAACACCAUGACUGUAUCAAGCUAGUUGGGCGUGGCCCCACCCUGGACUAGAGUGGGGCCACGCCCAACUAAUGGACAGCAGCAACAAAAACUAGAUUAUUGCACCAUUA